rnacentral:rRNA from 1 species
AUACGGAGGAUGCGAGCGUUGUCCGGAUUUAUUGGGUUUAAAGGGAGCGUAGGUGGGAUAUUAAGUCAGCUGUGAAAGUUUGGGGCUCAACCUUAAAAUUGCAGUUGAUACUGGUUUCCUUGAGUACGGUACAGGUGGGCGGAAUUCGUGGUGUAGCGGUGAAAUGCUUAGAUAUCACGAAGAACUCCGAUCGCGAAGGCAGCUCACCGGGCCGGAACUGACACUGAUGCUCGAAAGUGCGGGUAUCAAACAGGAUUAGAUACCCUGGUAGUCCGCACAGUAAACGAUGAAUACUCGCUGUUUGCGAUACACUGUAAGCGGCCAAGCGAAAGCGUUAAGUAUUCCACCUGGGGAGUACGCCGGCAACGGUGAAACUCAAAUGAAUUGACGGGG